rnacentral:rRNA from 1 species
UACGUAGGGUGCAAGCGUUGUCCGGAAUUAUUGGGCGUAAAGAGCUCGUAGGCGGUCUGUCGCGUCGGCUGUGAAAACUCGGGGCUCAACUCCGAGCUUGCAGUCGAUACGGGCAGGCUAGAGUUCGGCAGGGGGAGACUGGAAUUCCUGGUGUAGCGGUGAAAUGCGCAGAUAUCAGGAGGAACACCGAUGGCGAAGGCAGCUCGCUGGGACGGUACUGACGCUGAGGCGCGAAAAGCGUGGGGGAGCAAACAGG